UGGGGAAUAUUGGACAAUGGGCGAAAGCCUGAUCCAGCCAUGCCGCGUGUGUGAAGAAGGUCUUCGGAUUGUAAAGCACUUUAAGUUGGGAGGAAGGGCAGUAAGCGAAUACCUUGCUGUUUUGACGUUACCGACAGAAUAAGCACCGGCUAACUCUGUGCCAGCAGCCGCGGUAAUACAGAGGGUGCAAGCGUUAAUCGGAAUUACUGGGCGUAAAGCGCGCGUAGGUGGUUCGUUAAGUUGAAUGUGAAAGCCCCGGGCUCAACCUGGGAACUGCAUCCAAAACUGGCGAGCUAGAGUAGGGCAGAGGGUGGUGGAAUUUCCUGUGUAGCGGUGAAAUGCGUAGAUAUAGGAAGGAACACCAGUGGCGAAGGCGACCACCUGGGCUCAUACUGACACUGAGGGGCGAAAGCGUGGGGAGCAAACAGG
rnacentral:rRNA from 1 species